CCUACGGGCGGCAGCAGUGAGGAAUCUUCCACAAUGGGCGAAAGCCUGAUGGAGCAACGCAGCGUGGGUGAAGAAGGUCUUCGGAUCGUAAAACCCUGUUUUUAGAGAAGAAAGUGCGUGAGAGUAACUGUUCACGUUUCGACGGUAUCUAACCAGAACGCCACGGCUAACUACGUCCCAGCAGCCGCGGCAAUACGUAGGUGGCAAGCGUUAUCCGGAUUUAUUGGGUGUAAAGGGAGCGCAGGUGGUCUUUUAAGUCUGAUGGGAAAGCUUUCGGCUUAACCGGAGAAUUGCAUUGGAAACUGGCAGACUUGAGUACAGAAGAGGAGAGUGGAACUCCAUGUGUAGCGGUGAAAUGCGUAGAUAUAUGGAAGAACACCGGUGGCGAAGGCGGCUCUCUGGACUGUAACUGACGCUGAGGUUCGAAAGCGUGGGUAGCAAACAGGAUUAGAUACCCUAGUAGUC
rnacentral:rRNA from 1 species